rnacentral:rRNA from 1 species
UACAGAGGUCCCAAGCGUUGUUCGGAUUCAUUGGGCGUAAAGGGUGCGUAGGCGGCGCGGUAAGUCGGGUGUGAAAUCUCGGGGCUUAACUCCGAAACUGCAUUCGAUACUGCCGUGCUUGAGGACUGGAGAGGAGACUGGAAUUUACGGUGUAGCAGUGAAAUGCGUAGAUAUCGUGAGGAAGACCAGUGGCGAAGGCAGGUCUCUGGACAGUUCCUGACGCUGAGGCGCGAAGGCCAGGGGAGCAAACGGGG